rnacentral:rRNA from 3 species
AUGCCGCGGUGAAUACGUUCCCGGGUCUUGUACACACCGCCCGUCACACCACGAGAGUUUACAACACCCGAAGUCGGUGAGGUAACCGCAAGGGGCCAGCCGCCGAAGGUGGGGUAGAUGAUUGGGGUGAAGUCGUAACAAGGUAGCCGUAUCGGAAGGUGCGGCUGGAUCACCUCCUUUCU